rnacentral:rRNA from 1 species
ACGUAGGGUGCGAGCGUUAAUCGGAAUUACUGGGCGUAAAGCGUGCGCAGGCGGUUUUGUAAGACAGAUGUGAAAUCCCCGGGCUUAACCUGGGAACUGCGUUUGUGACUGCAAGACUCGAGUACGGCAGAGGGGGGUGGAAUUCCACGUGUAGCAGUGAAAUGCGUAGAGAUGUGGAGGAACACCGAUGGCGAAGGCAGCCCCCUGGGUCGAUACUGACGCUCAUGCACGAAAGCGUGGGGAGCAAACAGGAUUAGAUACCCUGGUAGUCCACGCCCUAAACGAUGCCAACUAGGUGUUGGGGAAGGAGACUUCCUUAGUACCGAAGCUAACGCGUGAAGUUGGCCGCCUGGGGAGUACGGUCGCAAGAUUA